ACUCUGUUUCAGAAAAAAAGAAAAGAAUCCUCUGAACGAGGACUUGGGGUUAGUUGUCGGAGGGCUAUCGUGCCUCCGUCCGGAGUUUGCACGCACUCACGCGCCCCCUUCUUGGCUUCCACGUACGGUGGUUGGAAACUGGAAAGUUUCCUUUUUCCGACACGAAUCGAAAUGGUACCAUUGAGGAUUUCAUGGCGAGAAAACGUUGAUCCGUGCAUCGAUCACGGCGCGCCAUGGGGCCUAGAAUCACGGCACUGAUGGUGGUGAUGAUUGGCGUGCCUGUGAUACAAGCUCUAGAACCUUCCGUUUGCGGCGCCUAGGGUUCCAGAAACCCUAGGUUUUCCUUCUCCUGUUUACCAAAUUGGGCCAUUUGGGCCAUACCUGGUUGGGUGUAAACGGGCUAGUAUUUGGUUGGGCUAAAAUGUAAUUUUGGGCUUGUGUGUAACGGGUCUGAGGUUUUAAGUAUUUGGGCCACUAACAUUUGGGUUUUUGUAAACUGGACUGAAAUAAAUAAACUUUUAUUUAUUUAUUUUUA